UCGGGAAUUUUGGGCAAUGGGCGAAAGCCUGACCCAGCAACGCCGCGUGAAGGAUGAAGUAUUUCGGUAUGUAAACUUCGAAAGAAUAGGAAGAAUAAAUGACGGUACUAUUUAUAAGGUCCGGCUAACUACGUGCCAGCAGCCGCGGUAAUACGUAGGGACCAAGCGUUGUUCGGAUUUACUGGGCGCAAAGGGCGCGUAGGCGGCAAUUCAAGUCAUCUGUGAAAUCUCCGGGCUUAACUCGGAACGGUCAGAUGAUACUGCUUUGCUAGAGUGCAGAAGGGGCAAUCGGAAUUCUUGGUGUAGCGGUGAAAUGCGUAGAUAUCAAGAGGAACACCUGAGGUGAAGACGGGUUGCUGGGCUGACACUGACGCUGAGGCGCGAAAGCCAGGGGAGCAAACGGGAUUAGAUACCCCCGUAGUCCCUGAGCGGGCUGGCAAGGCGCAU
rnacentral:rRNA from 1 species